rnacentral:rRNA from 1 species
UGCCAGCCGCCGCGGUAAUACGGAGGGUGCAAGCGUUAAUCGGAAUUACUGGGCGUAAAGCGUGCGUAGGUGGUUUAUUAAGUCAGAUGUGAAAGCCCAGGGCUCAACCUUGGAACUGCAUUUGAAACUGGAUAACUUGAGUAUGGUAGAGGUAAGCGGAAUUUCCAGUGUAGCAGUGAAAUGCGUAGAGAUUGGAAGGAAUAUCGAUGGCGAAGGCAGCUUACUGGGCCAAUACUGACGCUGAGGUGCGAAAGCGUGGGUAGCGAACGGGAUUAGAUA